CCUACGGGAGGCUGCAGUGGGGAAUAUUGGACAAUGGGCGCAAGCCUGAUCCAGCCAUGCCGCGUGUGUGAAGAAGGCCUUCGGGUUGUAAAGCACUUUCAGUGGGGAAGAAAGCCUUGGGGCUAAUACCCUCGAGGAAGGACAUCACCCACAGAAGAAGCACCGGCUAACUCCGUGCCAGCAGCCGCGGUAAUACGGAGGGUGCGAGCGUUAAUCGGAAUUACUGGGCGUAAAGCGCGCGUAGGCGGUCUGAUAAGCCGGUUGUGAAAGCCCCGGGCUCAACCUGGGAACGGCAUCCGGAACUGUCAGGCUAGAGUGCAGUAGAGGAAGGUAGAAUUCCCGGUGUAGCGGUGAAAUGCGUAGAGAUCGGGAGGAAUACCAGUGGCGAAGGCGGCCUUCUGGACUGACACUGACGCUGAGGUGCGAAAGCGUGGGUAGCAAACAGGAUUAGAUACCCGAGUAGUC
rnacentral:rRNA from 1 species